GCUGCUUUUAUGUGAACUUCUGCAGACUGUGAACUUCUGAGCCCCUCCCCUUAAAUGCUGGUAUAAAAUUCCGAAACUACCUGAACUCGGGGUUCAGGGGAUUGAUUGAUUACAACAAAAGCUGUGCUCUCUGAACUGCAGCCAAAUAAAACUGUUUCCUGCUAUUUUCAGGGCUUUGCCUUGUCUGUCCCUACAACAUUUUGGAGACCCAGAUGGGACAGAGGAGGUAAGAAUGGCUGUUCUGCCUCUCUUGUCUCCGGCUUCCCGGGAGCAGUGGGGGACAGUGUUUCCCCUUAGCACUCACAGGCAAAUCUUGGUCUGAAGGAGAGGCCACUCACCCCGCGCCCUGGAGCUGCCAACCCGGAGCACAAUGGAACCCACAAGGAGCAGGAACCAGAAUUAGGGUUUCGGAGCACCGCCCAUCUGAACAGACUUCUGCAGAGGGUAUGGACUUGACCCCAAUGGGGAGUGGAAAAAAUGGUGAAGAUCUUUCCCUGAACUCUCAUCCUACUGCUGCAACUCAAAUCAAGCGUUCCCCGCUGCCCAGAGAGCUCAUUUUGUAGGUCAUGGUGAGUAGAAGAUGAAAAUGGAUAGAGACUGCCCAAGGAGAAUAGAAAUAAACAGGCUACUAAUACCAAGCCCCUGAGCAAUGGAGUACACAGGUGACUCACGCCUGUUCUGUCAUCAUAUUCCAACUCACUGACCAUACGACUGGGUCACAGAUGGGCCUGUGACCAAAUGCAUGAGUGCCCUCUUCAGCCUUCCUGACCAGAUGACCAAGAUGUUGGCUGAAGCAUCUUUGAUGACAGGAGACUCACUCCCUCACAACUUCUGGUCUUUUCUAUUUCACUUUCUUUCCCCACUCCUCCCAAUUAUUGAAAGCUUUAUGGUUAGCACUUCCUACACCUGCUGCAGCAGAGGUCUUGGAAGCCUA